CCGGCCGCACCGACUGAUAGCGCGGUUACGUUGGCGAUGUAGGCAGUCCACCGCUCGCGGCUUCCGCUCCCGUGCCACUAGCACAAAUUUUCUCUUAGUUUCUGGAAGUGCGGUCGCUUUUUCAUGACGGCGUAAACGCCUUGAGAGCUAGGAAUUCCGGUCUUGACUAGAAGACAAAGGACCCUAAAAAUUACUAAACUGGGACGCAGAGCAACGACUGUUUCACACGCAAGACACCAUGACGUGACGAGAGCCGGCGUACGCGGCAUGACGUGGCAGAUGGCCAGAAGGAGAACGAGCACAGAAGCGAACUGAGGAGAGCAGCCGGCUGAAGAAAGUGCGAGAGAGAAGGAGGAGGAGAGUGCGCGGACGUCGAGAAAAGCGCACAGCGAAGAAAUGCAAAAGCAGGAAAAGGGAUUCUGCCAGAACGAUUUUCCAGCUCCGACAGGCUGUACACUUUCUAUGAUGCUGAAGAAGCAAGAAAUGCUGCAAAGGUCUGUCACGUGAGACCUUCGAAUUUGUAAACACUGUUUCGUCUCGGGGAAGAAAAGUUUCCCCAUCGGCUCCUGCGCACGUGCCGUCUCUGGCGGAAAGCUGGCUAACAAAGGCAGCUGAGCGCAGCUGUUUACGGCACGGAUCCCGGGAUUUCUUCCUGGUGCGACGUCGACAGAAAACAGUGGUUGGCCGAUCCCAGCGGCAAAGCAGGAGAGAGCAAUGUCUCAUAGCCCCCUAAGGCAGGGGCUACAAGCACUGACUCAUCUCAAGUAAAACGGGGUUUGUGUUUUAUGACGUCACCCCAAAAGGACAGCUCCGAAAAGAAAUCCUUGCAGAAUACGGCCCCGGUGGGGACGAGCUCCGAGAGAUCCACCCCUCGUCGUUCGACGGAAAGGUUGGAGACAGGUGGUAUAGACACGCCGACGGAUGCAUUGCGCGAAGGUGAAAGGUCUCCAGGUGAACCCAUCACGCUCGCGAGUCGUCGUCGUGUCCCGGUGCCCGGAUGGAUGGCUACUAGCAGCGUUCCUGGAAGCGGCGGCGGCGGCGGCGCCACGGUAUCCCCAGGAAUGAGAAAAAAAAAGUUCCCGCCGGGGAUCGGAUCAGGGCACUCUGCACGCCAGUCAGCUACUCUACCGCUGCACCAC